ACAAUUUGGCAAGUUCUGAGUUCUUUUCCCACCACCAAGAAGAAUAAGGCACUCAAACACCAGAGAGUGAGUAAGGCAGAGUAGGAGUUAUUAAGCAACAGAAAAAGCUGUGAGAAUAGAGGGGACCCUAAAAAGGGUUGCCAGCUGUGGGGCUAAGUUCAGGGUUUUUAUGAACUGGGAGGAAGAAGUAGUGUACUGAUUUGUAUGCAGGCCAUUUUGGAAAAAGCACCACUCAGAAAGAGACACAGUAGAGCAAAGAAUAAACUGGAGACAGAAGUGAAGACCUGACCCUCAGCCAAUCAGGGACUGGAGUGACAUUUCACUCUAUACAAAUGAAGACUCCGCCCAUGGCCAAUCAAAGAAAGAGAUGGAGAAAGCAAGGCCUGUAGU
rnacentral:lncRNA from 10 species